AACCUACGGGACGCAGCAGUGAGGAAUAUUGGUCAAUGGUCGGGAGACUGAACCAGCCAAGCCGCGUGAGGGAGGAAGGUACAGAGUAUCGUAAACCUCUUUUGUCAGGGAACAAAGACUGGGACGCGUCCCCGGAUGAGUGUACCUGAAGAAAAAGCAUCGGCUAACUCCGUGCCAGCAGCCGCGGUAAUACGGAGGAUGCGAGCGUUAUCCGGAUUUACUGGGUGUAAAGGGAGCGUAGGCGGCAAGGUAAGCCAGAAGUGAAAGCCCGCGGCUCAACUGCGGGACUGCUUUUGGAACUAUCU
rnacentral:rRNA from 1 species